rnacentral:misc_RNA from 1 species
ACAAACUUGGUCAUUUAGAGGAAGUAAAAGUCGUAACAAGGUCUCCGUUGGUGAACCAGCGGAGGGAUCAUUAUUAUAGCUACGUGAGUUGGUAAACUCGCGAAAGCCACCUGUGAACUGUACCUAUUUGCUGCCUCGGUGACCCGGGCAAGGAGAAGGAACGAAAACCCCCCCCGGAAGGGGGGCGGGGUUCGUGACCUUUCUUCGGGCCGGUGUUGCCGGAGGGCAAGUUGCCUGCACCAGUAGCGAUUACCCGAGUAAUCUUCUGAGUCGAACCGAGGGAACGAGUCAAAACUUUCAGCAACGGAUCUCUUGGCUCCGGCAUCGAUGAAGAACGCAGC